AAAUGAAUAGACGGGGGCUCACACAAGCGGUGGAGGAUGUGGCUUAAUUCGAGGCUACGCGAAGAACCUUAUCCAGGCCUUGACAUGUAUGGAUUAACCCUGUGAAAGCAGGGCCACGCCUUCGGGUGGAACAUACACAGGUGCUGCAUGGCUGUCGUCAGCUCGUGUCGUGAGAUGUCGGGUUAAGUCCCUUAACGAGCGAAACCCUUAUUGCUAGUUGCCAGCGAGUCAUGUCGGGGACUCUAGCAAGACUGCCGGUGUUAAACCGGAGGAAGGUGGGGAUGACGUCAAGUCCUCAUGGCCUUUAUGGUCUGGGCUGCACACGUCCUACAAUGCCGCGUACAGAGGGAAGCAAACUCGCGAGAGCAAGCAAAUCCCAAAAAGCGCGGCCCAGUUCGGAUUGCAGGCUGCAACUCGCCUGCAUGAAGCCGGAAUCGCUAGUAAUCGUGGGUCAGCAUACCACGGUGAAUAUGUUCCUGAGCCUUGUACACACCGCCCGU
rnacentral:rRNA from 1 species